GACGAACGCUGGCGGCGUGCCUAAUACAUGCAAGUCGAGCGCAGGAAACUGACGGAACUCUUCGGAGGGAAGGCGGUGGAAUGAGCGGCGGACGGGUGAGUAACACGUAAGGAACCUGCCUCAAGGAUUGGGAUAACUCCGAGAAAUCGGAGCUAAUACCGGAUAGUUCAACGGACCGCAUGGUCCGCUGAUGAAAGGCGCUCCGGCGUCACCUUGAGAUGGCCUUGCGGUGCCUUCGCUAGUUGGUGGGGUAACGGCCCACCAAGGCGACGAUGCAUAGCCGACCUGAGAGGGUGGUCGGCCACACUGGGACUGGGACGCGGCCCAGACUCCUACGGGAGGCAGCAGUAGGGAAUCUUCCACAAUGGACGAAAGUCUGAUGGAGCAACGCCGCGUGGGUGAUGAAGGUUUUCGGAUCGUAAAACUCUGUUGUAAGGGAAGAACACGUACGAGAGGAAAUGCUCGUACCUUGACGGUACCUUACGAGAAAGCCACGGCUAACUACGUGCCAGCCGCCGCCGUAACAC
rnacentral:rRNA from 1 species